AUUGAACGCUGGCGGCAUGCUUUACACAUGCAAGUCGAACGGUAACGCGGGCUUCGGCCUGGCGACGAGUGGCGAACGGGUGAGUAGAACAUCGGAACGUGUCCUUCAAGUGGGGGAUAGCCCGGCGAAAGCCGGAUUAAUACCGCAUGAGCUCUUUGGAGGAAAGCGGGGGACCUUCGGGCCUCGCGCUUGAGGAGCGGCCGAUGCCGGAUUAGCUUGUUGGUGAGGUAAGAGCUCACCAAGGCGACGAUCCGUAGCUGGUCUGAGAGGAUGAUCAGCCACACUGGAACUGAGACACGGUCCAGACUCCUACGGGAGGCAGCAGUGGGGAAUUUUGGACAAUGGGGGCAACCCUGAUCCAGCCAUGCCGCGUGCGGGAAGAAGGCCUUCGGGUUGUAAACCGCUUUCAAACGGGACGAAAUGGAUAAGGUUAAUAGCCUUGUUUGAUGACGGUACCGUAAGAAGAAGCACCGGCUAACUACG
rnacentral:rRNA from 1 species